CUUUUAUCUUGUGGGUGGUUUCAUAUCAAGCAGGCUAUUGGCUACGCUCACACAGUCACUAGAGAGCUCUGGUUUAGAUUUGUCCCAAGCCAGCAUCUCUGUGCAGAUUAGUCUCGGCAAAAGAGCAAAGAGGCCUGCUACUACUUCCAGUGCUAAGGAUCCUGAUGACCCAUCAUCUGGUAACCGAGCGAUGGGGCACUCAAUGGUUGGGAGCAGCGGCGAGGAAUCCGAACAAGCUACAAAAAGGCAUAAACUGGAUAAUAACAGCUAAUAACUGCAUGCUCCUGAUGUUAGGGUUAUCAGUAUUGCUCUCUUGAGGAGACUUCCAUCACAAACCGAGAAGCUGCAUUGAUUUUUAGGCUUCCAUUCAUGUGAGAAUACUAGUUCACCUGGGCAUUUAACUCAAUUGUUUUUGGUGUGAAUUAUACUAACUGCAUGAUAUGGUGUGGAAUAUUAUCUCACCAUUUUUUUUCUUACUGUUUAAACAUUAUGUAUGCCAUGCUAUUUAUUAGAAAUGUAGCUGUGGAUACAGCGUAUCAGUAUCAAGGAAUGUUGUCCAUGUACCAAGGCUUGUAUUUAUGUGUUGUUCAAACAAUUGAUACUAUCUGGUCAAGGAGAGAAAAUGUGUCGAUAAUACAUUGGAACCAAAUAUAAGCGUGGUUAAUCGCAAUCUUUAUGUAGUGUGAUAAAA